GUGUCAGCAGCCGCGGUAAUACGUAGGGCGCAAGCGUUGUCCGGAAUUAUUGGGCGUAAAGAGCUCGUAGGCGGCUUGUCGCGUCGGUUGUGAAAGCCCGGGGCUUAACCCCGGGUCUGCAGUCGAUACGGGCAGGCUAGAGUUCGGUAGGGGAGAUCGGAAUUCCUGGUGUAGCGGUGAAAUGCGCAGAUAUCAGGAGGAACACCGGUGGCGAAGGCGGAUCUCUGGGCCGAUACUGACGCUGAGGAGCGAAAGCGUGGGGAGCGAACAGGAUUAGAUACCCUGGUAGUCC
rnacentral:rRNA from 1 species